AGGACGUGCUAAUCUGCGAUAAGCGCCGGUAAGGUGAUAUGAACCGUUAUAACCGGCGAUUUCCGAAUGGGGAAACCCAGUGUGAUUCGUCACACUAUCAUUAACUGAAUCCAUAGGUUAAUGAGGCGAACCGGGGGAACUGAAACAUCUAAGUACCCCGAGGAAAAGAAAUCAACCGAGAUUCCCCCAGUAGCGGCGAGCGAACGGGGAGGAGCCCAGAGCCUGAAUCAGCAUGUGUGUUAGUGGAAGCGUCUGGAAAGGCGCGCGAUACAGGGUGACAGCCCCGUACACAAAAGCGCAUGUGCUGUGAGCUCGAUGAGUAGGGCGGGACACGUGGUAUCCUGUCUGAAUAUGGGGGGACCAUCCUCCAAGGCUAAAUACUCCUGACUGACCGAUAGUGAACCAGUACCGUGAGGGAAAGGCGAAAAGAACCCCGGCGAGGGGAGUGAAAAAGAACCUGAAACCGUGU
rnacentral:rRNA from 1 species